UACGGAGGGUGCAAGCGUUAUCCGGAUUUACUGGGUUUAAAGGGUGUGUAGGCGGGCUAUUAAGUCAGUGGUGAAAUCUCCGGGCUCAACCUGGGAAUGGCAUUUGGGACUGCAAGGCUGGAGUGCGGCAGAGGAGACUGGAAUUCCUGGUGUAGCAGUGAAAUGCGUAGAUAUCAGGAGGAACACCGAUGGCGAAGGCAGGUCUCUGGGCUGACACUGAUGCUCAUGCACGAAAGCGUGGGGAGCAAACAGG
rnacentral:rRNA from 1 species